rnacentral:rRNA from 1 species
CCUACGGGCGGCACCAGUGGGGAAUAUUGGACAAUGGGGGAAACCCUGAUCCAGCCAUGCCGCGUGUGUGAAGAAGGCCUUAUGGUUGUAAAGCACUUUAAGCGAGGAGGAGGCUUACCUAACUAAUACUUAGGCUAAGUGGACGUUACUCGCAAAAUAAGCACCGGCUAACUCUGUGCCAGCAGCCGCGGUAAUACAGAGGGUGCGAGCGUUAAUCGGAUUUACUGGGCGUAAAGCGUGCGUAGGCGGCUUAUUAAGUCGGAUGUGAAAUCCCCGAGCUUAACUUGGGAAUUGCAUUCGAUACUGGUAAGCUAGAGUAUGGGAGAGGAUGGUAGAAUUCCAGGUGCAGCGGUGAAAUGCGUAGAGAUCUGGAGGAAUACCGAUGGCGAAGGCAGCCAUCUGGCCUAAUACUGACGCUGAGGUACGAAAGCAUGGGGAGCAAACAGGAUUAGAUACCCUAGUAGUC